rnacentral:lncRNA from 1 species
UCACUUUUUCUUCUCUACUGAUGUCUGAAAACUCAGCAAAUAUUCAACAGAGAUAAAACUUGUGAUGCGAGUCAACAAGUUUUACAGCACCUUUUCACACCAAAUCCUCUCAGCAUGCAGUCAACAAGUAGCAGUAGUAAGAACUAUAGAAAUUCAACGACUCUAAUCCAAGUUAGGUACCACCAGCCUUCUUCUGGUCACAUAAGUACCAUCACAUUCAGUUGAUCAACUACUCUAAUCCAAGCCAAAAAAGAGUGUUUCCCUAACAAAGCACGCUUCACUUGUCAGCCUCACCGUGAGCUUUCAUUAAUUCCCUGGCCUUCCUGCACAGAGUUAACCAAAAUGAAACAAAUUUCAGCUGGAAUCCCAGCACCAUCAGAUUUAUGGAAGGAUCACUCGGCAGUCGGCACGCUGGUCCAGUGUGCAGCUGCUGGUCAUUAGUAUGGAAGUACUCCCUCCGUUCGGAAUUACUUGUCUUGGAAAUGGAUGUAUCUAGAACUAAAAUACGUCUAGACACAUUCAUUUCCGCGACAAGUAAUUCCGAACGGAGGGAGUAUAUGUUGUUCAUGCACGCAAGACGUGUACUCAAAUCAAAAGAGAUAAAUACAAGACAGAAGAUUACCGUAGCUCUCUCUCGACCUCUACGUUUCCAGGAUCCAACUUUUGAGCGUCCAGGAGAGCAUCACAAGCUUGCUUAUACUCCUAGGCACAGAGCACGUCAAAGGAGGAACAUGAGCGACUAUAUAGACUCAACAGAGUGGGGAAACACAAUGGCAAACUGGACCAUGUAGUAACUCACUUUGAGUAGCAUGUGAGCUGCAGCCUGACGGUAGCAAGCUUUCACCCAGUUAGGUCGCAGCAUUCUGCAUCUGAGAGCAUCUGACAGAGC